rnacentral:rRNA from 1 species
UACGUAGGGGGCAAGCGUUGUCCGGAAUCAUUGGGCGUAAAGCGCGUGUAGGCGGCUCAGUAAGUCCGCUCUGAAAAGCCCGGGGCUUAACCCCGGGAGGCGGGUGGAUACUGCUGAGCUUGAGUCCGGAAGAGGCGAGUGGAAUUCCCGGUGUAGCGGUGAAAUGACGCCAGAUAGUCGGGAGGAACACCAAUGGCGAAGGCAGCUCGCUGGGACG